rnacentral:rRNA from 1 species
UCCUGCCCUAUGAUUAAUUAAAUGGCUGCAGUAUUCUGACUGUGCAAAGGUAGCAUAAUAAUUAGUCUUUUAAUUGAAGGCUUGAAUGAAUGGUUAUAUGGAAGAUUUGUUUUAUUAUUAAUAUUUUUAAAAUUUGAUAUUUAAGUAAAAAAGCUUAAAAAUUUGUUUGGGACGAUAAGACCCUAUAGAACUUUAUUUUUUGUAUUAAUUAAUUACAUUUUGGUUAAAAUAUUUUUUUUAUUAAUUUAAAAUUUUUUAUUGGGGAAAUAAAUAAAUAUUAAUUUUAUUUUUUUAUUUCAUUAAUAUAUGUGUUUUUGAUCCAUAAUUUUUAUGAUUAUAAGAUUAAGUUACCUUAGGGAUAACAGCGUAAUUUUUAUGGGGAGUUCAUAUUUAUAUAAGAGUUUGCGACCUCGAUGUUGAAUUAAGAUAAGAUUUGGGGGUAG